AAAAGAAAAAUGGUAUGGUUUGCUUCUUGCUCACGAGGCAACGUGAAGAAACCCUUGGUGCCAUCUCCAGUCGCUUUAUACAGCAAAAUCUCCGGCUUUCUCUGAAUUCGAGAAUUUGCGAAGAUGACGCAAGACGCUGAGAUGAAGGAACUUCCUCCUCCCAUUUCUUCUUCUGCUGCUCUAACUUCUCCUUCAACGUUACAACAUUUGAAAGAGAUUGUGUCGCUUCUUGAAACCGGUGCGUAUGCACGGGAAGUCCGGCGAAUCGUUCGAGCUAUUCGUCUGACUAUGGCGUUGAGGCAGAAAUUGAAGGCGUCUGUUCUUUCUCCAUUCCUGAAUUUUGCUCUCCCGCCAGGAUCCGAUGUGCACACAAGGUUAUCGUCAUUUAUUCCGAAGGAGGAUGACUACGAAAUGGAUGUUGACUCGGAAACAAAGGCAUUAACUCAGGCACCUGUAAAACAUCCCUUACCUGAGAUAGAGAUUUUCUGCUAUUUGCUUUUGCUAGUAUUUCUGAUUGAUCAGAAGAAAUAUGGCGAGGCUAAGGCUUGUGCUUCAGCUAGCAUUGCCCGAUUGAAGAACUUGAAUAGAAGAACGGUUGAUGUGCUAUCAUCUAGGCUUUACUUUUAUUACUCGCUUAGCUACGAACUCACUGGUGAUCUUGCUGAAAUAAGAGGUAACCUCCUGGCUCUGCAUCGCAUUGCUACUUUACGCCAUGAUGAAUUGGGUCAGGAAACCCUCCUCAACCUACUACUUCGAAAUUACCUCUAUUACAAUCUUUAUGAUCAAGCAGAGAAGUUGAGGUCCAAGGCACCCCGAUUUGAAGCUCACUCAAACCAGCAGUUCUGUAGGUACCUAUUUUACCUAGGCAAGAUCAGGACCAUUCAGCUGGAAUAUACAGAUGCGAAGGAGUCUCUUCUACAAGCCGCUCGAAAAGCACCUAUUGCAGCGCUUGGUUUUCGAGUACAAUGCAACAAAUGGGCAAUCAUUGUUCGCUUAUUGUUAGGAGAAAUCCCUGAGAGGACUGUUUUCAUGCAGAAAGGCAUGGAGACAGCUCUGAGGCCAUACUUUGAACUUACAAAUGCUGUGAGAAUUGGCGACUUGGAGCUUUUCAGAACGGUUGCUGAGAAGUUCUCUAGUACUUUCAGCUCAGAUCGGACCAACAAUUUGAUCGUGAGGCUACGACAUAAUGUAAUUAGAACUGGGCUGCGCAACAUUAGCAUAUCAUAUUCGCGCAUUUCUCUGGCUGAUAUUGCUAAAAAGCUGAGACUGGACUCUGAAAAUCCUAUUGCUGAUGCCGAGAGUAUCGUCUCAAAGGCAAUCCGAGAUGGAGCAAUUGAUGCCACAGUUGAUCACGCGAAGGGAUGGAUGGUAUCCAAGGAGACUGGAGAUAUCUACUCUACCAAUGAGCCUCAAAUUGCCUUCAACUCAAGGAUUGCAUUCUGCCUGAAUAUGCACAAUGAGGCAGUUCGUGCUCUCAGGUUCCCACCAAACUCCCACAAAGAAAAGGAAAGUGCUGAGAAAAGGAGAGAAAGACAGCAGCAGGAGCAAGAACUUGCUAAGCAUAUAGCCGAAGAAGACGAUGACGACUUUUAAUUGAUUCAGUGUGAGACUCAGCUCAAUUCGAGUCAUGGGAGCCAAUCAGCUGUACAAUUUCAUCCAGGCACAGCAGUAAAGUAACGGUGGCUGAUGGCCUUUUUGAUCUCAUUCGUAUUAGAUGACCGUAGACACAGCAGUAAAGUAACGGUAGCUAUCGAUGGCUUCGACACGGUAUUGAAGUUUCAGUUCUACACGUUAGUGGUUUUUUGGUUGAUCACUCAAAUGGCUGAACUGAAGCCAAACGUCUUGAAAUGGUGCUCAUACUCGUAAUUUUCUUACCUGCCACAAGAAAUAUACAACAUAGCCACGUUCGAGAAAUAUAGAUUUGAAUUCAUAUCCAUUGAUUAUUAUGAAACUGUUAAAA